GAUGAACGCUGGCGGCGUGCCUAAUACAUGCAAGUCGAGCGAACAGACGAGGAGCUUGCUCCUUUGACGUUAGCGGCGGACGGGUGAGUAACACGUGGGUAACCUACCUAUAAGACUGGGAUAACUUCGGGAAACCGGAGCUAAUACCGGAUAAUAUUUCGAACCGCAUGGUUCGAUAGUGAAAGAUGGCUUUGCUAUCACUUAUAGAUGGACCUGCGCCGUAUUAGCUAGUUGGUAAGGUAACGGCUUACCAAGGCAACGAUACGUAGCCGACCUGAGAGGGUGAUCGGCCACACUGGAACUGAGACACGGUCCAGACUCCUACGGGAGGCAGCAGUAGGGAAUCUUCCGCAAUGGGCGAAAGCCUGACGGAGCAACGCCGCGUGAGUGAUGAAGGUCUUCGGAUCGUAAAACUCUGUUAUUAGGGAAGAACAAACGUGUAAGUAACUGUGCACGUCUUGACGGAACCUAAUCAGAAAGCCACGGCUAACUACGUG
rnacentral:rRNA from 1 species